rnacentral:RNase_P_RNA from 1 species
GGAGCAGGCCGUUCUAUCGCUCCUUUGCUUUCUGCAGACAGCAGAGGGGAGGAAAGUCCGGACAACAAAGGGCGCCAUACUUCCGCGAGGGAGAUAUCCGUAAGGGUAUAGUAACAGAGAAGAAAAUAACCGCCCCGUUUCGGCGGGGUAAGGGUGAGAAGACAGGGUAAGAACCUGUUAGUUGUGAUGGCGACAUCAUAGCUGUCUGUCUUGUGGGUUGCAAGGCUAUGUAUACCGGUGCUUGAAGGCCGCCCGCCUGAUGCCGGGGGGUAAGCCGCUGGGGGUGCCGGGAAACCGGCGCCGUAGAGAAAUGAUAGAACACGACAGAAUCCGGCUUACAGGCCUGCUUUUUUU